AAUGAACGCUGGCGGCGUGCUUAACACAUGCAAGUUGUACGAGAAAGGAUCUUCGGAUCUGAGCAGAGUAGCGAACGGGUGAGUAACGCGUAAGUAUCUGCCUUUUAGCGGGGAAUACCUUCGAGAAAUUGGAGUUAAUACCGCAUGGUCCCUCCGGGGUAAAGACGGCCUCUUUGCUGUCGCUAAAAGAUGAGCUUGCGUACUAUUAGCUAGUUGGUGGGGUAAAGGCCUACCAAGGCAAUGAUGGUUAGCCGGCCUGAGAGGGUGAACGGCCACAUUGGGACUGAGAUACGGCCCAG
rnacentral:rRNA from 1 species